UACGUAGGGUGCGAGCGUUAAUCGGAAUUACUGGGCGUAAAGCGUGCGCAGGCGGUUUUGCAAGCCGGAUGUGAAAUCCCCGGGCUCAACCGUGGGAAUGGCAAUGGAUACUGGCAGGCUAGAGUGCGGUAGAGGGUAGUGGAAUUCCCGGUGUAGCGGUGAAAUGCGUAGAUAUUGGGAAGAACACCGGUGGCGAAGGCGGCUCACUGGCUCGUUUCUGACGCUCAGGCGCGACAGCGUGGGGAGGCAAACAGGA
rnacentral:rRNA from 1 species